GACGAACGCUGGCGGCGUGCCUAAUACAUGCAAGUCGAACGGAGAUUGUAGCAAUACGGUCUUAGUGGCGAACGGGUGAGUAACGCGUUGGUAACCUGCCCCGAAGCGUGGGAUAACGGUCCGGAAGGACCACUAAUACCACAUGUGAUCCCGAGGAAUAGAUACUUGGGAUGAAAGGAGCAAUUCGCUUCGGGAGGGACCUGCGUCCCAUCAGCUAGUUGGUAGGGUAACGGCCUACCAAGGCGAUGACGGGUAGGGGACCUGAGAGGGUGGCCCCCCACAAUGGAACUGAAACACGGUCCAUACACCUACGGGUGGCAGCAGUAGGGAAUAUUGGUUAAUGUGCGAAAGCGCGAACCAGCAACGCCGCGUGUGCGAUGAAGGCCUUCGGGUCGUAAAGCACUUUUUGCAGGGAAGAGGAAGGACGGUACCUGC
rnacentral:rRNA from 1 species